AUACGUAGGGGGCGAGCGUUGUCCGGAAUGAUUGGGCGUAAAGGGCGCGUAGGCGGCCCGGUAAGUCUGGAGUGAAAGUCCUGCUUUUAAGGUGGGAAUUGCUUUGGAUACUGUCGGGCUUGAGUGCAGGAGAGGUAAGUGGAAUUCCAGUGUAGCGGUGAAAUGCGUAGAGAUUGGGAGGAACACCAGUGGCGAAGGCGAAUUACUCGACUGUAACGGACGCUGAGGCGCGAAAGUGUGGGGAGCAAACAGGAUUAGAUACCCUGGUAGUCCACACUGUAAACGAUGAAUGCUAGGUGUAGGGGGUAUCGACCCCUUCUGUGCCGCAGUUAACACAAUAAGCAUUCCGCCUGGGGAGUACGGCCGCAAGGUUGAAACUCAAAUGAAUUGGCGGGG
rnacentral:rRNA from 1 species